CCCUUAGAUGUUCUGGGCCGCACGCGCGCUACACUGAUGCAUUCAACGAGUCUAAAACCUGGUCUGAUAGGGCUGGGUAAUCUUUUGAAAGUGCAUCGUGAUUGGGAUAGAUGAUUGCAAUUCUUCAUCUUCAACGAGGAAUGCCUAGUAAACGCAAGUCAUCAGCUUGCAUUGAUUACGUCCCUGCCCUUUGUACACACCGCCCGUCGCUCCUACCGAUUGAAUGAUCCGAUGAAUACCAUGGAUUGAGAGUUCGAACAGGUUCGCCUGUUUCAGCUUCUCGGGAAGUGGAGUAAAUCUUAUCAUUUAGAGGAAGGAGAAGUCGUAACA
rnacentral:rRNA from 1 species